rnacentral:lncRNA from 1 species
UUUCUUCUUCCUUUUCCAUCAUUUUUAUUCUCGCAUUCCUAGAAUAUUUAGGGAAAAAAGGGGUGAAGGUUAGAGAGAGAGAGAGAGAGAGAGGGAAGGAAAAAGAAAAGAAAGUAAGAACUUUAAGAGCUUGCUUGAAGAUUUCUAGAAGCCCUUUUCUCCAAUCUCUAAAGACUUAUUUGACUUCAAUUGUAACGCCUAAGUAUCUUUUUUUUUAUUCUUAUUAUUUUUAUUUUUAUUAUUUUUUUUUUGUAUUUGAAUUUUCUAGAUUUUUAUUUAAUUUAAUUUAAUUUAAUUUAAUUUAAUGAAAAUAAAAAUAAUAAUAA